AUAGAGACUCAGAGCUGCAUAUCAAUAAGCGGAGGAAAAGAAACUAACAAGGAUUCCCCUAGUAACGGCGAGUGAAGCGGGAAGAGCUCAAAUUUGAAAUCUUAAAGGGUUCUACCUUGACGAAUUGUAGUUUAUAGAAGUGUUUUCUGUAGUGGAGUUUGGUAAAAGUUCUUUGGAAUAGGACAUCAUAGAGGGUGAGAAUCCCGUAUUUGACCAUUAUCUUCCAGCUGUGUGAUACACUUUCAAAGAGUCGGAUUGUUUGGGAAUGCAGUCCAAAAUGGGUGGUAAAUUUCAUCUAAAGCUAAAUAUUGGCGAGAGACCGAUAGCGAACAAGUACCGUGAGGGAAAGAUGAAAAGAACUUUGAAAAGAGAGUUAAACAGUACGUGAAAUUGUCAAAAGGGAAGCGUUUGACACCAGUGUUGUUUUCUCGAAAAUCAAUUAAAAAUGACCGGAUUUUGUGUUGUAUUGACUUUAUCAGCUUUCUGCACUUUUUUCUUGUCUUUUUUAAUGCACUUUUCGUUUAACAAGUCAACAUCAAUUUCUUAUGCUGUAAAAGGGUCAUUGGAAGGUGGCUUUCUUUUCGGAGAAAGUGUUUAUAGCCUUUGGCUUCUGCAGUCGGAGAGAUUGAGGUCUGCAACGUAGAUCCUUCGGGGUUAGAUGCAUUUGUGCUAAGUUAUAGCCUUUCAUAGACAACUUGUUGACUACGAUCAGUCAUGUAGCUUACUCGCUUAUGUCAUUUUACCUACGCUUAGGAUGUUGAUAGUCACAGCGUGUAC
rnacentral:rRNA from 1 species